rnacentral:rRNA from 1 species
ACUCCUACGGGAGGCAGCAGUGGGGAAUAUUGGACAAUGGGCGAAAGCCUGAUCCAGCCAUGCCGCGUGUGUGAAGAAGGUCUUCGGAUUGUAAAGCACUUUAAGUUGGGAGGAAGGGCAGUUACCCUAAUACGUGAUUGUUUUGACGUUACCGACAGAAUAAGCACCGGCUAACUCUGUGCCAGCAGCCGCGGUAAUACAGAGGGUGCAAGCGUUAAUCGGAAUUACUGGGCGUAAAGCGCGCGUAGGUGGUUAGUUAAGUUGGAUGUGAAAUCCCCGGGGCUCAACCUGGGAACUGCAUUCAAAACUGACUGACUAGAGUAUGGUAGAGGGUGGUGGAAUUUCCUGUGUAGCGGUGAAAUGCGUAGAUAUAGGAAGGAACACCAGUGGCGAAGGCGACCACCUGGACUGAUACUGACACUGAGGUGCGAAAGCGUGGGGAGCAAACAGGAUUAGAUA